rnacentral:misc_RNA from 1 species
UCUCCGUUGGUGAACCAGCGGAGGGAUCAUUAUAGAGUUUUCUAAACUCCCAACCCUUUGUGAACACAACUUGUUGCUUCGGGGGCGACCCUGCCGUUUCGACGGCGAGCGCCCCCGGGGUCAAUCAAACACUGCAUUCUCUGCGUCGGAGUAUUAGUAAAUCUAAUCAAAACUUUCAACAACGGAUCUCUUGGUUCUGGCAUCGAUGAAGAACGCAGC